GUUAAAUCUCUUAGUUGCCCAGCUGCUCACCAGUUGGCUCUCACUUCCCCAUGCCCAGCAGAGCUUUUUGCUGUUACCAGGAUUAAGACUUUGUAAGACUGAAGUAGAGGGGAUAGAGGGGAAGAGCUGUGUUUUAUUCCUUUGCAAUCUUUCAUGAACUACUGCUCUUCAGGAACAGAGAUCGCUUGUGCAAGAGGGAGAGCAAUUGCUUAUUGGUGUAAUUGUAGCAGUUGAAGACAGCAUAAAGGGCAGGUAACUGACAGCAUCUGUCUGAAAGAUAUUCAGAGUCUCUCCUGCUUCAUUGGGAGUGUUUGUACAAGUUGUCAGAUACUUGUCCUAAGUGGUGUUUGUUUCACUUCCAUAAAGAAGACAACAGCUCUGGACUCUGAUAAAACAAAGCUUGGCAGAGUCCCAGGCACGGUAUCUUGUUCUGGCACUACACUCAGCUUGAUCUUCUCAUUUACCUCACAGGUAUUCAGCAGGACUGCUUCAUCACAUUGUGUUAUGAGUGUUCAACAAGCGUGCUCGAGGAAAGCCUAUGUCACUUGUAGAUGUAUCCUGACACCAAGUGAAUCACGCUGCUUCACACUGCACUGAAUCAUUGGUUGGCUUUCUGCUGUAAAAAAUCACUGGCCUUGAGACUGUCAGAGCACUGCCUGGCAAAGUGCUAAGCAUUUUGAUUUUGAUCCAACAGAGCACUCAGG
rnacentral:lncRNA from 1 species